GACAGAGGGGGCAAGCGUUGUUCGGAAUUACUGGGCGUAAAGGGUUCGUAGGUGGCCACUUAAGUCAGACGUGAAAUCCCUCAGCUUAACUGGGGAACUGCGUCUGAUACUGAGUGGCUUGAGUGCAGGAGAGGAAUGCGGAAUUCCAGGUGUAGCGGUGAAAUGCGUAGAUAUCUGGAGGAACACCGGUGGCGAAGGCGGCAUUCUGGACUGUAACUGACACUGAGGAAAGAAAGCCAGGGGAGCAAACGGG
rnacentral:rRNA from 1 species